rnacentral:rRNA from 1 species
GUCCACGCCCUAAACGAUGCUUACUCGACGUACGCCCCCUGGGGUGUGCGUCCAAGCGAAAGCGCUAAGUAAGCCACCUGGGGAGUACGCCCGCAAGGGUGAAACUCAAAGGAAUUGACGGGGGUCAGCACAAGCGGUGGAGCAUGUGGUUUAAUUAGAUGAUACGCGAGGAACCUUACCUGGGCUAGAAUGCGAGCGCUAUCCGGUGAAAGCCGGAGUUCCUUCGGGACGCAAAGCAAGGUGCUGCAUGGCUGUCGU